GAUGAACGCUGGCGGCGUGCCUAAUACAUGCAAGUCGAGCGAAGCGGGGACGGGUGUGUAACACGUGGAUAACCUCCUAUAAGAUUGGGAUAACUUAGGGAAACCGGAGCUAAACCGGAUUAUUAUAGAUGGCUCCGCGCUGCAUUAGCUAGUUGGUAAGGUAACGGCUUACCAAGGCAACGAUGCAUAGCCGACCUGAGCGGGGGUUGGGCCACACUGGAAAUGUGACACGGUCCAGGCUCCUACGGGAGGCGGCAGUGGGGAAUGUUGCGCAAUGGGCGAAGGCCUGACGAAGCAAUGCCGCGUGGGUGAUGAGGGUAUUCGGUUCGUAAAACUCUGUUGUUAGGGAGACGGUACCUAAUCAGAAAGCCACGGGUGACGACGAGCCAGCAGCCGCGGUAAUAC
rnacentral:rRNA from 1 species